rnacentral:rRNA from 1 species
GAUGAACGCUGGCGGCGUGCCUAAUACAUGCAAGUCGAGCGAACAGACGCGGAGCUUGCUCCUCUGACGUUAGCGGCGGACGGGUGAGUAACACGUGUAUCACCUACCUAUAAGACUGGGAUAACUUCGGGACACCGGAGCUAAUACCGGAUAAUAUAUUGAACCGCAUGGUUCAAUAGUGAAAGACGGUUUUGCUGUCACUUAUAGAUGGAUCCGCGCCGCAUUAGCUAGUUGGUAAGGUAACGGCUUACCAAGGCAACGAUGCGUAGCCGACCUGAGAGGGUGAUCGGCGACACUGGAACGGAGACACGGACCAGACUCCUACGGGAGGCAGCAGUAGGGAAUCGUCCGCAAUGGGCGAAAGCCUGACGGAGCAACGCCGCGUGAGUGAUGAAGGUCUUCGGAGCGUAAAACUCUGUUAUGAGGGAAGAACAAAUGUGUAAGUAACUAUGCACGUCUUGACGGUACCUAAUCAGAAAGCCACGGCUAACUACGUG